CAGGGCAGCCAACGUGAAAUCUGAUAAGAGUACCCUCUACACCUGGAGCGAACCUAAAACUAGACUUGUGUAGAGCCUGUCUGCAAUAUAUGGGAUAAUGUGAUAGAUUACAUGUGGUUUGUGUAGCAACACUAGAUUGCAGUCCUAGCAAUGAAAGGUAUAUGCCGUGUCUGACCUUGGGUUGUAAAUAUCUUCCGCUUGACGUAAAGUUUCUCAUGCUUCAAUAUUAAGACGCGUUACCAAAGAACUGUACUAUUUAGCAAAGGGAAACUAUACUUAAUCGAGAUACAAUGUUCAGAGUCUACUUCAGCGGAGAGUAUGAGACGUCCAGGAGAUGUCACCUCAAUGGUGCCUAUAACCUCUUGGUUAAGGACACAAGCUUGUGCCUGUGCGAUCUCGCUUCUAACCGGGUCCUUUAUGAAUGGCCGCACAAGUAUAUCCGAAGAUAUGGGAAAACACAUUCGUCAUUCCAUUUUGAAGCUGGAAGAAGGUGUCCAACUGGUGAAGGUGAAUUCGUUAUGGAAACAAACCAAUGUCCUGAAAUUUUAAGAGCUGUCAGAGGAACAUGGAAAACAUCAUCAGAAAGAGGGCAGACAAGAGGUAUGUCGAUGUAUGCGAUCUCCUGAUGAGGAACAGAGAGCUGCUGAAGGCCACACGAACGUAAAUAUCAUCGGUGCAAGACAAGGCUUUUUAGACAAGAACAGGUCUAGGGAUACCGGCGGUGUUUACAGUGAACCGUAUAGUAUAGACACAGGAGAAACCUAUCUGACGGCAGUUGCAGAGAAACAACAUUACAACAGAGACGCGCUCGAUGGCAGUCGUGCUGGACACCCUCCCAAGUCAGAUGCGGAACACAUAUACAGUGAGCCAUAUACCUCAUAGACUGUUCUUCAUAACAGAUGGUAUCUUAAAGGAACGUGUUCAUUGUUUAUGUUUCUUGAUUGUUUAACGCUGUGCCCAGCAACAUUACAGCAAUAUGACUGCGAUCAAUAAUUGGUUCUGUACCAAGCAGCCGUGUAUUGACUUACUGAGUAUCGAUUUAUGCAAACGGGACAACUGACCCGUGAAGAUCCGGUUUAAUAUUGGUCUUCAGCAACCAAUACUUGUCAUAAGAGGCGAUAAAUGGGAUCGGGUGGUCAGGCUAACUGACUUUGUUGACACAUGUCAUCGUACCCCAGUUGCGUAGAUCGAUGCUCAUAAUGCCAGUCACUGGAUUGUCUGGUCCAGACUCGAUUAUUUACGGACGACCGCCAUAUAGCUGGAAUGUCGCUGAGUGCGAGGUUACAUAACGAACAAAUAACACAAUUACAAUUAUGUAAGUCUCAUUGUUUCUCACAACUUUUUCAAUUUUCACAAUUGUUGUUUUGUUUGGAAAUUAUCAUGUCACGUAUUUAUCUCUUGUACUUUGUUAUCUCGAAAUGUUUAUCUUGAAGUUUGUUAAAGAUGCUAUAAAGAAACACUCUUUUUUAUUUAUCUGCUUCAUUAUUUUCCAGAUGGGAUUCCUUGGCCUGUCGUGUGCUUUUUUCUUGCAUUUGUAUGUAAACUGAAGUAUGUAUUGUGAUGCAAAUAUAUUUCAAUCACUGGGCCAAUAAAACAGAAAUUGACCAAGAACUGCAGCUGAUCUUGAGACUUACAAAUACAAAUAGGGAUAUUGUUUUGGCUGAAGCAAAUACAUCGUCAAAUAAAUGAAUUAUCUCAAUAUGAAUAACAUAUGUCAAUAAUACUAGUAUGAAUAUAUGUGAGUAUAUGUGAGUGAAGUGUACUUAAUCC
rnacentral:misc_RNA from 1 species